CUGUAAGCCUGCGAAGGUGGCCUGUGAGGGUUGCUGGAGGUAUCAGAAGUGCGAAUGCUGACAUAAGUAACGAUAAAGCGGGUGAAAAGCCCGCUCGCCGGAAGACCAAGGGUUCCUGUCCAACGUUAAUCGGGGCAGGGUGAGUCGACCCCUAAGGCGAGGCCGAAAGGCGUAGUCGAUGGGAAACGGGUUAAUAUUCCCGUACUUGGUGUUACUGCGAAGGGGGGACGGAGAAGGCUAUGUUGGCCGGGCGACGGUUGUCCCGGUUUAAGCGUGUAGGUGUGUGUUCCAGGUAAAUCCGGUUCACUUUAACACUGAGGCGUGAUGACGAGGCACUACGGUGCUGAAGCAACAAAUGCCCUGCUUCCAGGAAAAGCCUCUAAGCAUCAGGUAACAUCAAAUCGUACCCCAAACCGACACAGGUGGUCAGGUAGAGAAUACCAAGGCGCUUGAGAGAACUCGGGUGAAGGAACUAGGCAAAAUGGUGCCGUAACUUCGGGAGAAGGCACGCUGACACGUAGGUGAAGUGAUUUACUCAUGGAGCUGAAGUCAGUCGAAGAUACCAGCUGGCUGCAACUGUUUAUUAAAAACACAGCACUGUGCAAACACGAAAGUGGACGUAUACGGUGUGACGCCUGCCCGGUGCCGGAAGGUUAAUUGAUGGGGUCAGCGCAAGCGAAGCUCCUGAUCGAAGCCCCGGUAAACGGCGGCCGUAACUAUAACGGUCCUAAGGUAGCGAAAUUCCUUGUCGGGUAAGUUCCGACCUGCACGAAUGGCGUAAUGAUGGCCAGGCUGUCUCCACCCGAGACUCAGUGAAAUUGAACUCGCUGUGAAGAUGCAGUGUACCCGCGGCAAGACGGAAAGACCCCGUGAACCUUUACUAUAGCUUGACACUGAACAUUGAGCCUUGAUGUGUAGGAUAGGUGGGAGGCUUUGAAGUGUGGACGCCAGUCUGCAUGGAGCCGGCCUUGAAAUACCACCCUUUAAUGUUUGAUGUUCUAACGUGGACCCGUGAUCCGGGUUGCGGACAGUGUCUGGUGGGUAGUUUGACUGGGGCGGUCUCCUCCUAAAGAGUAACGGAGGAGCACGAAGGUUGGCUAAUCCUGGUCGGACAUCAGGAGGUUAGUGCAAUGGCAUAAGCCAGCUUGACUGCGAGCGUGACGGCGCGAGCAGGUGCGAAAGCAGGUCAUAGUGAUCCGGUGGUUCUGAAUGGAAGGGCCAUCGCUCAACGGAUAAAAGGUACUCCGGGGAUAACAGGCUGAUACCGCCCAAGAGUUCAUAUCGACGGCGGUGUUUGGCACCUCGAUGUCGGCUCAUCACAUCCUGGGGCUGAAGUAGGUCCCAAGGGUAUGGCUGUUCGCCAUUUAAAGUGGUACGCGAGCUGGGUUUAGAACGUCGUGAGACAGUUCGGUCCCUAUCUGCCGUGGGCGCUGGAGAACUGAGGGGGGCUGCUCCUAGUACGAGAGGACCGGAGUGGACGCAUCACUGGUGUUCGGGUUGUCAUGCCAAUGGCACUGCCCGGUAGCUAAAUGCGGAAGAGAUAAGUGCUGAAAGCAUCUAAGCACGAAACUUGCCCCGAGAUGAGUUCUCCCUGAGACUUAGAGUCUCCUGAAGGAACGUUGAAGACGACGACGUUGAUAGGCCGGGUGUGUAAGCGCAGCGAUGCGUUGAGCUAACCGGUACUAAUGAACCGUGAGGCUUAACCUU
rnacentral:rRNA from 3 species